rnacentral:rRNA from 1 species
GACAGAGGCCUCAAGCGUUAGGCGGAAUCACUGGGUUUAAAGCGUGUGUAGGCGGAUCGUUAAGUGUCUUGUGAAAUCCCACGGCUCACCCGUGGAACUGCUGGGCAUACUGGCGAUCUUGGGCCAACUAGGGGCAACUGGAACAAGCGGUGGAGCGGUGAAAUGCGUAGAUAUCGCUUGGAACGCCAACGGUGAAAACAGGUUGCUGGGGUUGUGCCGACGCUGAGACACGAAAGCCAGGGGAGCAAACGGG